AGAUGCUGUCCCUCUCUGUUGAACCUGCAGGACGCUUCAGCUUCAUGCGUCAUUUGAUACAAGUAGGCCAUUGUUCAAGAGGGGAGAGCAGAAGGGGCGGUGAAGAAGAGGUGUUUACAGUCACGUCUAAGGAGAAACCAGGAUGCAAGAGGAAGCCCUCCAGACUCCUACGACGCCCCCUGCCAUAGUAACCGCCACACCAGCCACAGGACACCCUGCGACUGCUGCAGUCACAGUCCACACAUCAGCCUCCCGAGUUUUGGUGAUGUGAUGGUUGUGUCUCCCGGCCAGGUAUCCCUAACAAGGAUAUCCAAGAUUAACCUGACUACCACUCACUCUGCUGGGAAAUCCAGAUUGCCAGCAUACUGUAUCAGGUGCCAGUCAGCAUGGAAUUUACAAAAAUUUUAAUAACCUGCAAAUGGCUAAGAACUCCACAAAUUUGGACAAUUUUUUUUUUCUUUAAAAUAUCCAAAUAUAAACAAAGGUUCAUUUAGUGUCUUAAUAAAGCAGAAAGAAUGUAUCCCUUACAUAUAUCAAGAAACAAGACACACAUUUUGAUUAUGAAGUAAUAACCUCAACAAAACAUUUUGUAUUCCUUCUAUACAAGAAGUGUCAUAUGAAGUAAUAAUUUCAACAAAAUACUUUGUAUCUCUACUAUACAACAACUGUGGUAAAGUCUACACACACACACACACACACACACACACACACACACACACACACACACACACACACACACACACACACACACUAACA